UGUAUUUUACAAGGAGUGGAUUUGCCUGGAGGUAGUGUACUUGUAACCGGUAUUUCUUUCAGGACUGGGAUUCAUACUUUUGACUGCUUGGUUACAUGAAACCACCAAUGAUGGGUGAAGUCAGACUGGUUUCUAAUUUUCUACUGGAUUUCAUUCAUAUUUUGAAGAGGUUUAAGAACAAUGGGUAUUAUGUUGUCUGCUGCCAGACAUACUGCCAAGUUGUAGAGGAACAAUACUGAAUAUAAAAUUAGGGAGUUUCUUCAUUUACAUGCAGGUACCUUUCAUUUGCCUGUGGUCCGGUUUAAAAGCAUGUGAUGACUUCAGAUAUUCUUAAUAGUUCAAGAUUUAGACCGAAGAUUGAAGAUUUUUACAUCCCUGAGAAAAAUGGGACAAGAGAAUAUGCAGCAGAGUUUAUUGAUGAGUACCUGCUCUACUCUUAAACCCGGGGUGCUACGUCACUGCCCAGAAGUGUAGAAGUCUUACAAAUUCCUUUUUUGAAUUUUGGUGCUUUCAUCCAUAAGAUAUUUGAAAUGUCUUAUUCAUUCAGAAUACUGGGGAAUUAAAUAUCAUGCUAUUUAUGCUAGACUAUGUUGCAUUAAAUUUUGGAAAGGAAGACAAUCUGCUGGUGAAUAUGUGAAAGUUUAAUCAUUCUUUUUAUUUAAGUUAUAGUUAAAUUACCAAAUUCCUCAAACCCCUGUAAAUCAAGAAUUAAAAAGGAACCUGCAUCACAAUCCUAACUACAAUAAUUUAUCAAUGAGUUAAUCAUUCUAUAAGGUUUAAUUACCAUUCUGUUUCUACUCUCAGUGUCUUUCUUCAUUGAAUAACAUCAUGAUUUGAUCAAGUAGAGUGAACUCCAUAGAAAACAAAAACAAAAACAAACCACACGCAAAACCAAACCAAAAGCCCCACUGUGUUCACGUGACACAAAACACUGCUCAAGAACGAAUUCAUAUCAUCAGCCUAAAUUUGCUAAAAUACACUGACAACCCGACUUUGUACCAGCAGGAUUUAUGCCAGAGCUUGUAUUGUCUUCCUGUGCUGUUCAAAGUUUGUGACGGUUCUGCUAUUUUAAGUCCUCUUAGAGCCAGAAUAGGACUGGUAGAAAAGCACAAAACCAGCAUAGACUCCAUGGUGUGUGCUCUGGUUAAUCUGACAGAGAUGAUGUGUGAUAAAGUUUGGGCUUCAUGGGUGAUCUGGCAGGGCUUCGAUCU